rnacentral:rRNA from 1 species
UGGGGAAUUUUGGACAAUGGGCGAAAGCCUGAUCCAGCAAUGCCGCGUGUGUGAAGAAGGCCUUCGGGUUGUAAAGCACUUUUGUCCGGAAAGAAAUCCUUGGCUCUAAUACAGUCGGGGGAUGACGGUACCGGAAGAAUAAGCACCGGCUAACUACGUGCCAGCAGCCGCGGUAAUACGUAGGGUGCAAGCGUUAAUCGGAAUUACUGGGCGUAAAGCGUGCGCAGGCGGUUUGCUAAGACCGAUGUGAAAUCCCCGGGCUCAACCUGGGAACUGCAUUGGUGACUGGCAGGCUAGAGUAUGGCAGAGGGGGGUAGAAUUCCACGUGUAGCAGUGAAAUGCGUAGAGAUGUGGAGGAAUACCGAUGGCGAAGGCAGCCCCCUGGGCCAAUACUGACGCUCAUGCACGAAAGCGUGGGGAGCAAACAGGAUUAGAUACCCUGGUAGUCCACGCCCUAAACGAUGUCAACUAGUUGUUGGGGAUUCAUUUCCUUUUAGUAACGUAGCUAACGCGUGAAGUUGACCGCCUGGGGAGUACGGUCGCAAGAUUAAAACUCAAAGGAAUUGACGGGGUCAUAGCUGUUUCCU